rnacentral:rRNA from 1 species
UACGGAGGAUCCAAGCGUUAUCCGGAAUCAUUGGGUUUAAAGGGUCCGUAGGCGGUUUAAUAAGUCAGUGGUGAAAUCUGGUCGCUCAACGAUCAAACGGCCAUUGAUACUGUUAGACUUGAAUUAUUGGGAAGUAACUAGAAUAUGUAGUGUAGCGGUGAAAUGCUUAGAUAUUACAUGGAAUACCAAUUGCGAAGGCAGGUUACUACCAAUAUAUUGACGCUGAUGGACGAAAGCGUGGGGAGCGAACAGG